UACAGAGGUCCCAAGCGUUGUUCGGAUUCACUGGGCGUAAAGGGUGCGUAGGUGGUUGGGUAAGUCGGAUGUGAAAGCUCGGAGCUCAACUCCGAAAUGGCAUUGGAAACUACCCUGCUAGAGGAUUGGAGGGGGGACUGGAAUACUUGGUGUAGCAGUGAAAUGCGUAGAUAUCAAGUGGAACACCAGUGGCGAAGGCGAGUCCCUGGACAAUUCCUGACACUGAGGCACGAAAGCUAGGGGAGCAAACAGG
rnacentral:rRNA from 1 species